ACCAGAAGAGGUGCGAAACUGAGGUAGAAAACGAGAGGAACCACAUUCCGAAUACCGUUUUUGAGGGAAGUUAUCGCCGAGAGUAUUUAACGGUGGAUUUAAAUACUCGGUCACUAAGGUUGAAUCCUUAUGGCUGUCACCUGACGUAUUUGUUAACAAUUACUUAAUAAUAUUAGGUAUCAAACAAAAGGUGGAGAGCUUCUGGC
rnacentral:ncRNA from 1 species